UACAGAGGUGCCGAGCGUUAGGCGGAAUCACUGGGCUUAAAGCGUGUGUAGGCGGAUGCCUAAGUACCUUGUGAAAUCCCACAGCUCAACUGUGGAACUGCUUGGUAUACUGGGUGUCUUGAGCCACUUAGGGGUUACCGGAACAAAUGAUGGAGCGGUGAAAUGCGUAGAUAUCAUUUGGAACGCCAAUGGUGAAAACAGGUAACUGGGAGUGUGCUGACGCUGAGACACGAAAGCCAGGGGAGCGAACGGG
rnacentral:rRNA from 1 species